CACGUAGGGUGCGAGCGUUGUCCGGAAUUAUUGGGCGUAAAGAGCUCGUAGGCGGUGUGUCGCGUCGGCCGUGAAAACCUGCAGCUUAACUGUGGCGUGCGGUCGAUACGGGCAUCACUGGAGUUCGGCAGGGGAGACUGGAAUUCUGGUGUAGCGGUGAAAUGACGCAGAUAUCAGGAGGAACACCGGUGGCGAAGGCGGGUCUCUGGGCCGAUACUGACGCUGAGGAGCGAAAGCGUGGGGAGCGAACAGG
rnacentral:rRNA from 1 species